CCUGGGAGGUUAAAUGAUCUCAUGGCUAAUACAUGGUGAGACCAGGAUUUGAAUACAAUUAGAAAGCCUCCCUUUUACUGCACCACACAGCCAAUUUUGUAAACAGUAUACAGCAACAAAAAGGUAAGGUGUCAAUAAGGGUUCAGUGCAUGAAGCAGAAACCACUCUAGAUAUUUUAUGCAAGCAGAGAUUUACUUCAGGGAUUUUGGAGCUUACAAAUUUGCUGGAAAGGCCAGAGAAGCAGGUUCUAAGAUAAGCCCCCUAGAUAAGUUCCAUAAAUAUGCAAAAGGUGAUACCAUUGGACCACCAUUAGACCUAUAUCAGAGCAAGAACUACAUCCACUGCUUCCCUAACUGUCUGAGAAAUCUGGAGAAUGGUCAAUUAAAAUUGUUAUCCAGGGAAGUUAAAUCAGGAAUUCACUGUUGCUGCUAUUGCUUCUGGAUACCCAAGAAACUGGAGGAUGAAUAAUGUAAAGUUUCGGUAGGGAAGCCUCAUGUUUCCAUGGCUGUACUAGCCAGCAGCAGCAGCCGAGAGUCAGGAAGAUGGUCUUUGCCUCAGUAGUGUCUUCCACAAAUUAUCUGAGCAUAUUAACGUUGUGGAACCUAAUUUGCAUAUAGAACCCUACUUCCAAGGGAGUCUGGGAAAUAGAAAUUUUAGUUUUCCAGUUUUCAACUAGAAAGAGGAGAAAAUGGAGGUUGAGUAAGCCAUUCCAAAAAAGAUAUCAUUAUUAUUAGUUAAAAAUGUAAUAAUUAUUACUAUCUGUAGGUUCUAUGUAACUCGGUGGACCAUGAAAUGGAAGUCUAAUGUACUCUGCAGUGGUCAUCUGAUCUUUUAGUCUCUUUGCUACUCUUGAUGUCUGCAGGACACUCCUGACCAAAUAAGACCUCUGCUUUAGACACAGCUGUUGUGUUUUUUUUUUUUUUUAUAUCAACUCAGAGAGCAAUUGUGUCUAACAGCAGUGUUAUGGUCCACUGACUGCUGAAAUGUAGCACUCUAACAGCCAUGGACUUUGAAAUGUUUAUAACAAGUAUUUAAUCUGAAAACAUGAAAGAGGAAGGCUUCUGAAUAUAACUUAUAAUCAGACUAACUCUUAUGUAGGUAUUGAACAGCAUAUAGAAUUAAUACUUGGGCCUUGGAUUUUGAGGUUAAUGUUGUCCUCCUUCAUGAGACAUAGUGACAUCAGCAGGUGAACUGAAGGUUAAAAUCCCAAUUGUUUUGAAGGGACAUCAAGCCUUAUGCAUUUGAAUUAGUACUCAAACUAGCAGGGGAAUAGGAUAAUUAACAUAUAUGAAACUACAUAUUUUAAGACAAAGCAAAACCUAAAAUGAACCUUACAGAGGACCUUUGGAUAAACACUGUGUUAUGUCAUAGCUAACAAUGUCAAUGGUCUUAGAUAUUACAGAUGAAGAGUUUUAUUUAUGCAAGUUUGUGGACUUUUCCUGAAUUCCCAACAUGUAUUUUAUUAUAUGUUGACCUUUUAUUCCUUUAAUUUUUCAAGCAUAUACUACUUAAUACCACGAGUUUUUAUUUCUUCCCCAAGGUACUUAGUUCCUGAAAUUGAAUAGCAACUUCACAUAUCUACACUUUGCCUGAAGUGUUAAUAUGCUUUAAUUAGUGUGGAAAUAUUUCCAAGCUUUCAAAGUACUUUUAUGCAGACCAUAAUCCAAAGCAAAAGGAAAAAAUACUACUGUUCACAUGAAUGACUGCUCUAUUCUAAAAGUGCUCAAGAAAACUCAACUUUCAGAAGAGUACUAGAAGAAGACUAAACAGUAACUUAGAAAUUUCCGUGGUAGUAAAAGAUGAUUCAAUAUUUUGCACUCAGCUAUUUGAAGUGUGCUUCAGUUUUUAUUUUAAUUUUUCUUGUGAAUCUUUCAUCAAUAAGAUUGUCAAAAUAAGUUUCUAUGGGAACUUAGCUGUUAAUCAGUGAAAAGAGACAAAAUACUUAAGAAUAAAAUUGAUCAUAUUAUACAAUUACAUUGCAGAUAAGUGCAUAUAACAGUGUGUGGACUUAUUACAUGGCUCAGAGAUUCUGAAUGCUAGCAGUGGUACAGCUGUACAAUGUUUUUAUGAGUGUAUGUUGGAGCUGUGUGAGCCUAAAUAUACUUAUGUGUUUGUGCUCUAUCCAGGGCAUUUGUCAACUUCAGUCAAUGAAUUUGGGGGAGCUGUGUUUCUGAAUCUAUCUUGGUCUAUCAUGUGUCACAUGUGAAUGUACAUGAGUCAAAGGGUGAGUACAGAUAACUGAAAAGAAGACCAGAGUAAGUUGAUCAUCCUAUGAGCUGAGAGAAAAAGAGCCACAGGUCUUGGAUUGGAAGAUGAAGCUGAAAUCAUUAAAGGUUAGAAGAGAAAUCAGGAAAAAAUGAUUAGCAGACAAAUUCUGGCUAUAUUUACAUGAAGAAAUCUGUGAAAAUUUGAGUCAUUAAUUUGUGAUAUUGGUAUAUUUUGUAGCACAACUGCUCACAGCAAGAGCAAAUGGUCUCAUGACUACCAUAAUAGGGGAAUUGCAGUUGAGAUUGUAAGGUUCUGAUUUCUGCAGAUCUAUAAGCCAAAAUGGUAUAUACUUAAAAAACAAUGUCAAGACUAAUUCAGCAGCUUUAAAGAGUCUUAGGGACAGACUUCCCCCAGGAGGUUCAUGGACAUUAAAGCCAAUUCAAGCUGCAAUGCAGUGCCCCAAGGAUUUAUACAAAUAAGAGCAAAGGGAUUACAUUUCAGAACUGUAUAAAAUUCUUUGGUCCACAAACAGGCUUUCUGAAAAUCAGCCCUAGAGACUUUUCAACAAAAGCAUAUUUCACCUUUAGGCUUUGGAGUUGUUCUUACUUACGUGGGCACCCAUAGCUGGCUUUUCUCCUAGAUCUGUCCAUGGACUUCAUUUCAGCCAGGUUUUACUAUGCAGAGAAUAGUAGUUGAGACAGUAUGAAUUGGUAGCUAUGUGAUUCUUAGAAAAAUGCAUGGAAAAGAAUGGCAAAAUUUGAGUGUAGGCCAGUAAAAGUUGGUCUCACCAACAGCAGUUUGUUCUACAAAUUUUCCAAAGAUGCACUGUGUUUGAAAAACACAUCUUUUUCUUACCUGGCUACAUCUGAUAUCUCAUUCCCUUCCUGUUUCAUCUCUGGCUCUAGGUUUGAUCUUAUCUAUAGAAUAUUGCCUGCUUUCCUCCUUUAGCUUCUUGACCCAAACUAUUCCCUGGGCUUACUGUGGUCACUUUGUCCCUUAAAUUGGCACCAGUUUCUUUGUGCUAUCUCAUUUUGCUGACUCAGAUUAUAAUAUAUAAGAAGGCAAGUGUGCCAUCAGAAGAUAAAUGUUUAUUGAGUGCCAAUCUUAGGAUGAAGUCUGAGACUCCGUUGUUCCUGUUAUUGACUGAGUAUAUCAGCCAGGGUUCAGUCCAGAAAACAGAAGUCCUAUAUGUAUUCCAAGAAUGAAGGGAUUAAUAAGGAAUUUGAAGUUUACAAAAUCAUUGGCAGGGCUGAGGAAAAAAGGUCAGAAAAGUCACCCUUAAUACAUCACUGAAGCGAGUGGUUCCUCAAGCUCCCUUGGAAGCCACUGCAAAUGUCAAACUUCUCUGGAAAGCUUCCACUAACUGCCCUGCUAUGCAGCGUUUAAAUGAGAGGUUUGCAAAGGGUUGCUCAGAAGCUGCUGUGACUCUCGUGUCUGCUCAUGCAUAUGGCUGCAUCUGCCUCUGGGAAAUUAUGGCCUUUCUUUGGUGCACUUGAGAUCAUCUUGUAAAAAUAAGAUGAUCUCCCACCCCAAAUUUGGUUUGCAUAUCAAUACUAAUGAUAUCCAUGCAUAUAGCAAGAGGGUAUGACAAGGUUUAUUACUCACAUCAUGAGGCUUUCUGCAGAGAGCAGGAUAUGAUCCCAAGCAGAUUCACAAAA